AAGGUUCUCGUCUAAUGCUGGAUCUCCUCUUCCAGGCCUACGUUUGGAGUAGUUUUGCCUAUUUCACCAUUGGGAGAUUGGUGCCCCUCUGCAAGAAUUCUCAGGGACUUAAAAGAUGUCGCCAUCACCUGGUCUCCAGUGUAACUAUGGAACACAAUCAAAUAUUCCACCUAACCACACUUCCAUCCAAGAGUUCAGUUAAGGCCAUGGGGCUUUUGAAAUGAUUCCAACAGAAAGAAGAACUCAUCAUGAUAGAUUUAAGGAGAACUAACAUAUAAGCAAUGCCAGUUUCCCACUAGUUAUCCAUCAUGGCUCACCUAAAGACAGGAACUUGCUCUGUUCAUAGCGAGUGAGUAACUCAUAAAUCCACUGCCUUUCUCUCUUCUCCUUCCCAUAUUCUCAGUCCCACCCUGCCUCACUUUAAGUUCUAUCUGUAAUUCACAGUCCCAUAACUAUCCCCCUUAUUUUUAUUUAGCCUUGGGCUAGUUUUCUUUCCUUGGCCACUUCCUCAUGCUCACACAUUUGUAAUUAUUAAUUCUACUUUCCCCUUCCUUUUAAUCCAUCUAUACAGUAUUUUCUAUUUUACCUAGGUGAAAAUUAUUUGAGGAUUUGUAGUCCCUCUUUGUAGAAGUUUUCCUGUAUUCAGUCUUUUCGUAAUGUUCUCUCUUUCUUUACAAUAACAAUUCUCUUUAUUUUUAAAAAGUCUGUCUGUUAGGGUACUUAUCUCUAAUUCCUUUUCUUCUGGCAAGAGUAGCCAGGAAGAGAGGCUACUAUUUAAAAGAAAGCUGUCUUCUACAUCAUUCUUGGACUCUGAUAGUCAUUGCUUCUGACUUCUGUCUCUGACGAUGGAAUACCUUUACUGAACACAUAACCCCCAAUAAGUAGCCUGAUCAUAAUUUAAAUAGAAUCUUGCUUUCUCGUUCCUUUUUUCAGAUGUUCUCAGAACUGAAACAACAAACUCUUACAGAUAUAGAACAGACUAUUCAACUACUACAUUUUCACUACCUCUUUAUUGUCAAUUUUUUU